rnacentral:rRNA from 1 species
GUCCUAUUGUUAUUUCUAUUUUAGGUCAGUCCUGCUCGAUGAUUAAAUAAUUAAUUAAAUGGCCGCAGUAUUUUGACUGUGCAAAGGUAGCAUAAUCAUUUGUCUUUUAAUUAAAGGCUUGUAUGAAUGGUUUCAUGAAGUUUCUACUUUCUUUACAUAAUUUAAUUAAUUUAACUUUUUAGUUAAAAGGCUAAAAUUUUUUUAUGGGACGAGAAGACCCUAUAGAAAUUUAUUUAUUUAUUAAUUUAUAUUAAUUUGUUUAAUUAUUAUGUAUUAGUGAUAAAUUUUGUUGGGGCGACAUGAUGAUUAAAUAAACUCUUCAUUUAUAUUAUAUUAUUAAUUAGUAUAUUUAUUGAUCCUUUAAUAUGGAUUAUAAGAUUAAUUUACCUUAGGGAUAACAGCGUAAUUUUUCUGGAGAGUUCUUAUCUAUGGAGGAGUUUGCGACCUCGAUGUUGGAUUAAAAUAAGUUUUAAGUGCAGCAGCUUAAUUACUAGGUCCUGUUCGACCUUUAAUUUUUUACA